GUGGUUAAAGAGGGGAAGUUGAAAAUAGCUCUAUAUCAAGGCACAGUGGUCAGGUUUACCUGUUGAUCAUGUUCCAUCUCUAAUACUCAUGGAGAAGUACUGCAAGACACGAGAGAGAGCGAGCUAGCGAGCGAGGACUUGACCUUUGUCAAAUAUGGUUUAAGAGGGAAAAUGAGAAUGCUGUCUUUGCGCAUUGAUCAUUUCUCAGUUUUCUGAUCCAGAAUGUCUGCAGUUGUUUGUAAAUUUUUCUAGUUUCAGGUGGUAAAAGCUUCCUGCUCAUUACGUUAUGGCUGGGAUCUGCUUUUGCAGUUCUACAGAUAAUACUUGAUGGUUGAGCAUGCCCCUUAACAGGGCCUGCGGCACCCCAUGAAGAGGACGAGCCUGCUGAUGUAUGCCUAUGAAUGACGAGCCUUGCAGCUGGCUAGCAAGAUACAGAAAACUGGAAGGAAAAUAUGUAGGAUUUCUUAUUCACUGGUCCCUGUGCGGUUUGGGAGAUCUUAUUUAUGGAAACGAGACAUAUAUCCCUUAUGCUGUACCCAAUGGAAUUUCAUUUAGCGUCAAGGCGCGAGUUCACAUUAUUGCUCAAUAACCCUCUUGCCGCUCCAGGCUUGGUACCAACUAUUAGGAUUAGAAGCUAGGAACUAUGUGAUAUCUUCAGACGACUGUAAAUUCAAGACCUGGGGAUAGUGUAAGAUUCUGUACCAUAAAACUCAAUUGGGAUUUUAAAUCCCAAGUUUAAGUUCGCAGCGACGUUCACAUUGUUAGCAAAGGAUAAUUUGUGCGUCUAGCCGAGCUUAAAAGUAAUUUUAUUUUAGAACAUGUUUGGUUAUGUUAUUUUUUUGUAUGUAUUUUGUAAAUGUAGCUAAGCUUUUACUUGUCAAGUAGAUGGAUAAAUUUUAAUAUAAAUAAAUAUUUUGAUCAAAAUUUGGCAUA